ACAGGUUGCAGCUGUAGUCCUCGUGAACAGCACCGUGGAUUCCUCCAUGCUCCACGAAACAUGCUGGUAGCGACCAGCCGCGGGAUAUUUUUCAUAAACCUCGAUGAAUAUUCUAGAUUACGGAUGUAGUGGUUUCUCCGGAGGAGAAAACCGCUGCUAGUUUUGUCUUCGAUUGAGAUGGCUCGCUCUUUCCGGUGUGUGUGUGUGUGUGUGUGUGUGUGCGUGUGUGUGCGCGCGCGCUGUCUGGAUAGAUCGCACCAUGGAUGAACCAGAGAAGAACCACCCAUGGCUGCACAAUGGAGGAACUGAAGAUUUAUUUGAGGAGACCCGACCAUGACCUCUCUGUGCAGGACACCACAAAGUUCAUCACGUUCGCCUUAAGCUCCUCCACAGCCGCAGGGCACAGCCUGCAUUAGGACUCGUUAUGGAAGCCUAUUCCUCUGUGAGGACACUCCCUGAAGGUGACGGUUUGAGACUCCUGUCUGCUGCCUCCAGCCUUGAUCAUUGCCAAGAGGAAAUGGCUGAGGAUAAGCCCUGCAGCUGUUUAAAGCCUCGGCUUUCAGCAACCGCGGUGGAAUUAUUUCAAAUUCUACAAUUACUCCGAUCUCUCAGCGUGCAGCUCAUGUUUUUUUCUCUCCGUUGUUUGCACAAAUAAUUAAAGCAAUGAAGGGAGAAGAAAAUAGAAAUACAAACCAUCUGUCCAGAGAAAAGAAACGAAGGGCUUGCACAAACAUAACAGUUGAGGGACAAUAUCAAGAGGAUAAACGUCAAUAGAUCACCGCAAGCGAACCAUGAAAAAAACAAAUAACUUCUUAUUAUAUUGAUCCCCCCCUGCAAUAAAAAUCCUUUAUCUGAAAACAAGGACGCUAAUUCCUGUCUUUGUCUUCUGUGCGGUGAAUUCAAUUGGGGGUUUUCUGAUGUUUAGUCUGCUCUUUUCCAGGUAAUUCAAAUCCAAGAGGUGUGGAGAAGAGGUAGCUGAGGAGAUGCUCUGAGCACCUUCAUUGCUUCCUAAUUCCAUCUCCAUUGUAAAAUCAUGUUAAAUCAACAGAUCUGAACUGAAUUUGACCCAUCGCUUCAUCUUUUGAUGGUCAAGGAAGAAAAGGAGGAGGAACUGCAAGAUGACGCAAAGAAGGCUCCGACCAACAUGACUCAGUCCUCACAUGCAUUAUACAGGGUCAAAUGGUUGCCCAUAACCAUAUAAUAUGUUGACAACCAAGCCUCGUAUAUUUACUGUAAUUUAUUUCUUCAACACAUGCCCCUUGGAUUGAUUCUCCAGGAAGAGGGGAAACAAGGGAGCAAAAAAGCAGACUGAAAGAUGAUCUUGGAAGAGGAGGAAGCCUCAACAUCGACCAUCUCAGUGAGGACAAAGGAGAAGACUAGUGAGAUGUGGCUGAGAAGUUUGACCUCAGCGAGAAACUAAAAUGUGAGUGCCAAAGGAAGAGACACAAGGUGAUCGGAGCUCUCUGAAAAUGAGUGUUGGUUAACAAUAAAGUUUACUAACGCGUGUUUCAUUUGAAGCUUGUCA